rnacentral:rRNA from 1 species
CUGUAAGCCGAUGAAGGUGUGUUGAGAAGCAUGCUGGAGGUAUCAGAAGUGCGAAUGCUGACGUGAGUAACGACAAAACGGGUGAAAAACCCGUUCGCCGAAAGACCAAGGGUUCCAGUCCAACGUUAAUCGGGGCUGGGUGAGUCGACCCCUAAGGCGAGGCCGAAAGGCGUAGUCGAUGGGAAAAUGGUUAAUAUUCCAUUACUUCUGUGUAAUGCGAUGAGAGGACGGAGAAGGCUAAAUCAGCCUGGCGUUGGUUGUCCAGGUGAAAGGAUGUAGGCAUGUAUCUUAGGCAAAUCCGGGGUACUCUAUGCUGAGAUCUGAUAGCAAGCUGUACUUGUACAGCGAAGUGGUUGAUGCCAUGCUUCCAGGAAAAGUCUCUAAGCUUCAGUUACACAGGAAUCGUACCCGAAACCGACACAGGUGGUCAGGUCGAGUAGACCAAGGCGCUUGAGAGAACUCUGCUGAAGGAACUAGGCAAAAUGGUACCGUAACUUCGGGAGAAGGUACGCUGUUGUUGGUGAUGGAACUCGCUUCCUGAGCUGACGACAGCCGCAGAAACCAGGCCGCUGCAACUGUUUAUUAAAAACAUAGCACUCUGCAAACACGAAAGUGGACGUAUAGGGUGUGAUGCCUGCCCGGUGCUGGAAGGUUAAUUGAUGGGGUUAGCGUAAGCGAAGCUCUUGAUCGAAGCCCCAGUAAACGGCGGCCGUAACUAUAACGGUCCUAAGGUAGCGAAAUUCCUUGUCGGGUAAGUUCCGACCUGCACGAAUGGCAUAAUGAUGGCGGCGCUGUCUCCAGCAGAGGCUCAGUGAAAUCGAAAUCGCUGUGAAGAUGCAGUGUACCCGCGGCUAGACGGAAAGACCCCGUGAACCUUUACUGCAGCUUGACACUGAACUUUGACCUUACUUGUGUAGGAUAGGUGGGAGGCUUUGAAGCUGGAACGCUAGUUCCAGUGGAGCCGUCCUUGAAAUACCACCCUGGUAAUGUUGAGGUUCUAACUCUGUCCCGUGAUCCGGGACGAGGACCGUGUCUGGUGGGUAGUUUGACUGGGGCGGUCUCCUCCUAAAGAGUAACGGAGGAGUACGAAGGUGCGCUCAGCGUGGUCGGAAAUCACGCGUAGAGUAUAAAGGCAAAAGCGCGCUUAACUGCGAGACCCACAAGUCGAGCAGGUACGAAAGUAGGUCUUAGUGAUCCGGUGGUUCUGUAUGGAAGGGCCAUCGCUCAACGGAUAAAAGGUACUCUGGGGAUAACAGGCUGAUACCGCCCAAGAGUUCAUAUCGACGGCGGUGUUUGGCACCUCGAUGUCGGCUCAUCUCAUCCUGGGGCUGAAGCAGGUCCCAAGGG